ensembl:lncRNA
CUCCGAGGCACACGUUGCCAUAGCGAUGCAGAAACGCAUCGCCCCACCUUCCCCAGAAGCACUGGAGAGCUCAAACUAAAUGUAACAAAUGAAGAGAGGAUCUUGGCGUAAUGAGAAAGAGAGAGUGCUGGGAGAAGGAGAGAGUGUGUCUUCGGAAAAAGCUUUUACAGCGAGCUAAUGCAGCUGGGCUCUUCAGCCGCGCAGUCGGCUAAAACACCCGCCGCAAGGAUUAACGCUCUCCUGGUCACCAUAGCAACUCCAGCCUGCCACAACAGCUCUCAGUACUUGUUUUUUUUUUUUUUUUAACAACAAGUUUUUCUGCGGAAAUGAACAGGUGCUGGGUAAUUUUUAAUGCUGGGUUAUUUGUUUCUACCUAACCACUGGGUUGAACUUGUCCCUGAUGAAACUUCUCAACAACGCAGCCGCUGAGUUACAGUCAGAGCCGGCUUAUUGCAUUCUACAGGAGAGAGCGGUUCUCAGCGCCGCUGCCGAUUUGGUGCACUAUUUCCAGGAAAUAAAGAUUUUGGAGUCAGUCAUGCCAUCUCUCAGCUAAAGAGAGUGCAAACUAAAGUUUGUAGUUCCCCCACGAAUAGCAACCCUUCACCGGCUCAGAUUUUGGCAACACAGGCACGAGAAUUAGCACUGUUUCGGUAAAAUGCGAUUACA